UAUCUGUUGGUUUUCAAUUCUAGUGUUUAUAUUUAUUUACCAUGCAUAGAUGUAUUUUGUCACCUGUCUGGAUUUUUUCAGUUGAUAGCCAAAACCCGGGAUUACCCUUAUCCGCUUCCGGAAUCGGAUCCGAUAUUGUAAUUGUCUUCUCGCGGCAGCCAUUUUUUUUCAAUGUUGUUUUUGACAGACAGUGAGAUACGAUUUUACUCGGAUUUACACAUUAUUUGUCGGCGAUUUUCUGUAUAAAGCUAGCGGUUGAACAAAUUGAACAUCGCUG
rnacentral:lncRNA from 1 species